UUGGAGGGCAAGUCUGGUGCCAGCAGCCGCGGUAAUUCCAGCUCCAAUAGCGUAUAUUAAAGUUGUUGCAGUUAAAAAGCUCGUAGUUGAAUUUCGGGGUCAGUAGGCUGGUCGUGCCGCAGGUAUGUACUGGUCUCACUGAUUCCUCCUUCCUGAUGAACCGUAAUGCCAUUAAUUUGGUGUUGCGGGGAAUCUGGACUGUUACUUUGAAAAAAUUAGAGUGUUUAAAGCAGGCUAACGCUUGAAUACAUUAGCAUGGAAUAAUGAAAUAGGACGAUCGAUCCUAUUUUGUUGGUUUCUAGGAUUGACGUAAUGAUUAAUAGGGAUAGUUGGGGGCAUUAGUAUUCAAUUGUCAGAGGUGAAAUUCUUGGAUUUAUUGAAGACUAACUACUGCGAAAGCAUUUGCCAAGGAUGUUUUCAUUAAUCAAGAACGAAAGUUAGGGGAUCGAAGACGAUCAGAUACCGUCGUAGUCUUAACCAUAAACUAUGCCGACUAGGGAUCGGAUGAUGUUAAUUUUUUAAUGACUCAUUCGGCGCCUUACGGGAAA
rnacentral:rRNA from 1 species